rnacentral:rRNA from 1 species
AGUGAACGCUGGCGAUAGGCCUAACACAUGCAAGUCGAACGGCAGCACAGUAAGAGCUUGCUCUUACGGGUGGCGAGUGGCGGACGGGUGAGGAAUACAUCGGAAUCUACUUUUUCGUGGGGGAUAACGUAGGGAAACUUACGCUAAUACCGCAUACGACCUACGGGUGAAAGCAGGGGAUCUUCGGACCUUGCGCGAUUGAAUGAGCCGAUGUCGGAUUAGCUAGUUGGCGGGGUAAAGGCCCACCAAGGCGACGAUCCGUAGCUGGUCUGAGAGGAUGAUCAGCCACACUGGAACUGAGACACGGUCCAGACCCCUACGGGAGGCAGCAGUGGGGAAUAUUGGACAAUGGGCGCAAGCCUGAUCCAGCCAUACCGCGUGGGUGAAGAAGGCCUUCGGGUUGUAAAGCCCUUUUGUUGGGAAAGAAAAGCAGCAGGUUAAUACCCCGCUGUUCUGACGGUACCCAAAGAAUAAGCACCGGCUAACUUCGUG